UGCAAGAAUUUGCAUUAAAAUCGUUUGCCUAAGAAAAAUUAAAUUUUCUUGGGAACUUUUUUAUGAUUUUGGAUUUAUGGGUUGGAUGACUUUUUGGUGGUAAUAGGUGUCUUCCUCUACUCGUAUUUGGCUGUCAAUUUUUUUCUACACUUUUAGGAGUAUUUUGUGCAAGAAUUUGCAUUAAAAUCGUCUGCCUAAGAUAAAUUGAAUUUUUUUGGGAACAUUUUUAUGAUUUUGGAUUUAUGGGUUGGAUGACUUUUUGGUGGUAA